rnacentral:rRNA from 1 species
CGGAUCCCAUCAGAACUCCGAAGUUUAACGUGCCUGGGCGAUAGUAGUACUAGGAUGGGUGACCUCUUGGGAAGUCCUCGUGUUGCAUUCC